rnacentral:rRNA from 1 species
AUGACCACCCGGGAGCGGGACGCAGCAUGGGGCAUGCAGCCUCGGGGGCGACCACAGGCGGAGGGGCGGCGGCACUGCCACGGCGAUGGUGACGAAAAGGGCUAUGCCAAUGACGAGGAUGCGCCGUCCUGUGCGGUCGUUCCAGGGGCGUGUCGAUGUCGAGACCCCGAACGCUACCGGAGAGACGGCGCGACGCCGCGGCGGUGA